UCUUGGCUGGUAAAACAGAGCAACAAGUAGUCCAUUGAAUGAAAAUUUGCAGUCAUGAUCGACUUAGAGAGAGAGAGAGAGAGAGAGAGAGAGAGAGAU